GAUUUUCGCAAUGCCCGAAAGGGUGACGAAGCGACGCCGCGUGCGGGAAGAAGGCCUUCGGGUUGUAAACCGCUGUCGGGAGUUAAGAAAUGUAAGGAUGUUAAUAGCAUCUUUGCUUGACUAAGGCUCCGGAGGAAGCCACGGCUAACUCUGUGCCAGCAGCCGCGGUAAUACAGAGGCGGCAAGCGUCGUUCGGAAUUAUUGGGCGUAAAGAGCACGUAGGCGGCUAUGUAAGUCGGUUGUGAAAGCCUUCCGCUCAACGGGAGAACAGCAUCCGAUACUGCAUGGCUUGAGUGCGGGAGGGGAGAGUGGAACUUCUGGUGGAGCGGUGAAAUGCGUAGAUAUCAGAAGGAACGCCGGCGGCGAAAGCGGCUCUCUGGCCCAUAACUGACGCUGAGUGUGCGAAAGCUAGGGGAGCAAACGGGAUUAGAUACCCCGGUAGUCCUAGCCGUAAACGAUGGGCACUAAGUAGAGGGGUUUUAAUC
rnacentral:rRNA from 1 species